CGAUCCAUGAACCCCCGCGAUCAUGGCCUGAGCCGAGAUCAAGAGAUGCUUAGCCAACCGAGCCACCCAGGCGCCCUUCCAUCUAAUAUUCUCUAGGAGAUCAUUCCAUGCGAGUGCAUGUAAUUUUACCUCCUUGAGCAUGACCGUGUAAUAUUUGGUUACCAUAAUUUAUUCAGCAAGUUCCUUGAGGGAGGAGUUGAGGUGAUUGCUUGCCCUUCCCUGUAGUGACUCAUUUUUCACAGGUCUUUCUGUCUGUGCCUGUGCUAAAUGUGAAAAACUAUUGGUAACUUGUGCUCAUCAUUAUGAACAGCAGACCUUGAGCCCGAACAUUGCUGCAGAGUGGGAAGGACCUCGGGUGUCAGACGAUCUUAACCUCUCCAGUCGACUCCUACAGUCACAUAACUGUUCAAUAAAUAAUAGUUUCUUUUUUCCUCAGUAGGUGAGGUGUUACUGCAAGAAAUUGACAGCUACAAAUGCAUCCCAUAUUGAUUGUGGAGAUUCUAAGAGAGGUUUUGUAGAGCUCCUUGGAUAUACAAUCAGAGAUGAGUGGUUCUUUGCCAUUCAGCCUAUUGGUUUUCUAGUUAAUAAGGAGAAAAGGAAGUUGGGCCAUCUGGCUAAUAACCCUGUUACUAAUUAGCUGUGUGGCAAUACCCCCUUUGGGGUCUUAGCUUCCCCAUGUCUAAAAGAAGGUGUCACUAGCUCAAGUCCUGGAGGGCACAUGCCCCAGCUCUAGACGAUCUAUUGGCUUGCAGGAAUGCAGACCCUGUAAUGCCAGGUCUAGAUUUCUAAGAAAAACUGAACAUCCAUAUUAUGUAAAGACCCAAUUUUUAUAAGUUGGGAACUUUUAAAGUCAGUCACUGGAGCACUGACAGCAUUGUGAUCCCUGAACCAACAUGAUUUGAAACAUUUCUAGUAGCGACCUCUUGAAAUAUUGUGCCUAGGUUUGGCCACCGAACACUUGAAGAAUAGAGAUUUCAGAGAAAAGGGACAAAUUAAAUGAUAUGCCCUGUGACAAAGUGACCAGCCCAUAGAAUGACUCCAUACAUAUUCCUUUAGGAAAAAUGACCAAACAAGGGAGGAGUUUGAGAAAAAAAAAGGAGGAGGAAGGGGAAGGAAGGAGCCAAGAGCUGGCGACCACCGUCUUCAGUCACAUUGUGAGUGUUGAGACCAGCUGCCUGCUUUUGUGCUGGGACUGAGUUCACGUUACAGCAAGGCAGGCUUUAGGCCCAGGAUCGACUUGGGCUUCCGGCUGGAGAAAAUUCUGGGAGCUCUAGGACCUCCAAGCUCCUUGAUGCUGGGUUUUCGUGAUGCUGGGUCUGAGACCUCAUAGACGUUCAAACUUAUAUGUGGGGUGACUGCGUACAUGGCUGUCUUAAGGUGUUUACCUGCCCAAAGAUGGGGUGAUGGACCCCAUACAUCAAAUGCGCUGAAAUCCUAAUCCAGUUUGUAAGAAUUUUUCUUGGUUAUGUGUAGCCAUGUGAAAGAAUUAUAGUGCAGGCCACAAGUAACUUUUUUUGUGUGCAUGUAGGGUAAACUGGAAAGCAGACUCCAAAAGUGGAGUGGUAUUCUUGAUUGCUUUCAACUUUCUGGCUUUUUACUCAUCCUGUCUCUAGGAAUUGCUUCAUCGUAUUUUUCGUAUGUUGUUGGACUGGCCUGGGAGAACCUACGAGUGACAGCCAUAGACUUCAUCUGUAGUGGGGUCAUGCCCAAGGAACCGCUUAAAGCUGGCGAGAUCUCAGUGACACAGCGUAAGCUCCCUCCACCCUCUACUACCAACCUCGGAUCUAACGGACCUUUCUCGAGGGCUGUGUCUUACUCUCAAAUGCCCUGCAGCUCUAGGGGUUGAGAAGGAAUGCUCUCAGAGCACUGCAGCCUUUGGAGCUUAGUAUCACGCCCAGAGAUACCCCAUGGGGGGGCUCUGGUCUACUGGAUGGAGGAAAGAGCAUGAGCCUUGGCGUCAUGAGACCCAGCUUGAGACUGGAGCUCUGCCACCUAUCUGGCAGCAGCCCCAUAAGCAAGGACAUUCUCUGCGCUGAACCUGAGCUUCCUCUAGGAAGUGGAGACAGUGUUUUAAAGUCUCUUCAAGAAUUAAAUGACAUAGCCUAAAGUACCUCAUCUGAAAUCUCAGUUCAAGUCGACUCGAAGCUCUGUACCCGUACAUAAGAUACCUUUAUCAGUGCCUGCUCCUUUGGGCAGCUCCAACUGUGGCUUUUAAGCAGCUGGUACAGAGUGUCCGGAGCAGAGAAAGGUAUUAUGAGGGUUAGGGUUCAGGAUGGUGGGGGAUGAGACAAAACCAAACGUGCUCAGGCAGCCUGAGCGAGGCCUGUCUGGGCCUCUUGAAGGGAAACACAGGAGCUGGCACUUGGAAUUAUGCUGACCGUCCCCAGGGAGCAUUUGAGUCAGUAACCAGGGCCUGGGCUGCUCAGUCGGUGCAACUGAGGGAGGUGGACCAGAUGGAUAGUAUUUAUGCCAAGUUACUUUUGUUGGUUUUUAAGUUUAGAAUAAUUCAGCUUUAAAAGCAGUCAACUUAUAUCCUCCUGGGGUGUUUCUGGGAAGAGAGUGAGACCUCAACACGCCAGUAUGCUCAGCAGAUUGUAGUGUCUCCAGAGUGGACAGGCGAGACUUUCACGUCCUAAGCGCGUGUGUGUGUGCGUGCGUGCACGCGCGCGCAAGUGGGCGGUGGGGCGGGGAGCAGGGUGGGCAGUGCAGGGAAGAGGGUGGUUCAACGCCAGCUAUAGCAACAACAAGAAUAAACAUAACCACCAAACAGUGAGUGCCAGGCCUGCUGGGAAGGGCCUUCCACACCGUGUGAUCCUCACAAAAGCCCUGUGUGCUAUGUGUUCGUACCACUUGACAGCUGAGGAAACUGAGGCCCAGGUCUGUCUUGCUAGGCGGCUGGGUUUAGCCUUGAUUCCAGUCUAUCUCGGCUGCCACAGCUGGCCUCUUACCACGCCACCCUCUGCCCACCCACCGCCACCCCGCCCGUGCUCCACGGGCGCUGUGAUCAGCAGCGUCUCCCCGGAGGAGCCUUCCUCUUACAUUAACAGACGCUUUGCACAUCUGUUUUCCUCCCCUGCCAUACAUUCUUUGGUCAUUAAUAAAUGUGUGCAGCGCUUUCAUCAAUGCACAAAGUUUGGUAGAGUGUAAAGAACACAACAACAUAGGUGCCGGGGACCCGACCGUGGCCAGGUUGGUGGGCCAGGCUGAGCGUCUAUCUUGGCAGCACUGGGCAGCCACUGAUGGGUUUAAAGCCGGGGAUGAGCAGUCAGAAGGCUGGUGCCAAGAUUCAGGAGAGGCAUGUUGAGGUCUGGAAUAAGGCGGAACACUGAGGCGGUGAGAGAGGGCGGUUUUGAGGGGUGUUGAGGAGGCAGGAGCUGUGCGAUCCGAGGUUGAGGGAGUAGGAGGCCUUAGCGAGGGCACCCACGGUUGGCGUGUCUCCCAUGCGCCGCUAGGUGGAGCUGUAGGGACAGGAGCCCCGCCCCUGCUCUCAGGAAGCUUCCAGUCCGGAGGAAAUAGACAAUAUACCGUGGUUGCUACGGUAUACGCACGCGCCGGUGAAUUCACGGGCUACAUCCUGAUCGCGCUAAGUGCUGUGAAGCGAUUACGACCGUCUGCGAGCGUGCAGCGGGCUGUGGGACAUCUGAACCAAGACCUCAAGGAUACAAGCAGGAGCCGGUGGGGGACGUCCCAGGCCGGGGAAACACAUGCAAAGGCUGUAAGGUGCCUGAGAAAUAGUCACGUGAAGCUGACUCGGGCUGCCGAGAGAGAGAGAGAGAGAGAGAGAGAGAGAGAGAGAGAGAGAGAGAGAGAGAGAGAGAGGCAGGCUUUCGAAGAAGAGCCCAGACGCUGAGUCGGGAAGGAUGUUGCAUUUAGGACAAGGGCACAGGAAGACAAGCCAGCGACAGAGGCGGAGAAGGAGCAGCUGUAAAGCACAGCGCCCCAUUCUCCCGAUGGCCAGGCUCCGGUCGCAACAGCAAACAGCCCGGCCCGGCCCUAGCCUCUCUUGUCCUUGGGAGUGUUCCCUGCAGCCCAUCUGCACAAACAGACGGGGGCCAGGUCUGCGCCUCAGGAAUGAGAAGAUAAAAGGGACCAUCGGGGCUUUUUCCACCAAAGGCGAAAGCAUUUUAUAGAACGGGCUGCGAGUUUUUGUUUCAGGAAAUUUCAUCAUGUCUCCAAGAAGGGGAGGGGGAAAAUG